rnacentral:rRNA from 1 species
GACGAACGCUGGCGGCGUGCUUAACACAUGCAAGUCGAACGGAAAGGCCCUGCUUUUGUGGGGUGCUCGAGUGGCGAACGGGUGAGUAACACGUGAGUAACCUGCCCUUGACUUUGGGAUAACUUCAGGAAACUGGGGCUAAUACCGGAUAGGAGCUCCUGCUGCAUGGUGGGGGUUGGAAAGUUUCGGCGGUUGGGGAUGGACUCGCGGCUUAUCAGCUUGUUGGUGGGGUAGUGGCUUACUAAGGCUUUGACGGGUAGCCGGCCUGAGAGGGUGACCGGCCACAUUGGGACUGAGAUACGGCCCAGACUCCUACGGGAGGCAGCAGUGGGGAAUAUUGCACAAUGGGCGGAAGCCUGAUGCAGCAACGCCGCGUGCGGGAUGACGGCCUUCGGGUUGUAAACCGCUUUCGCCUGUGACGAAGCGUGAGUGGCGGUAAUGGGUAAAGAAGCACCGGCUAACUACGUG